AGGGAGGGUCUUUGUCACUGA
rnacentral:miRNA from 1 species